rnacentral:rRNA from 1 species
UCAGGAUGAACGCUGGCGGCGUGCUUAACACAUGCAAGUCGAACGAAGCAGUUAUCACGAUCCUUCGGGGUGACGAUUACUGACUGAGUGGCGGACGGGUGAGUAACGCGUGGGUAACCUGCCUUGUACAGGGGGACAACAGUUGGAAACGACUGCUAAUACCGCAUAAGCGCACAGUGUUGCAUGACACAGUGUGAAAAGAUUUAUCGGUACAAGAUGGACCCCGCGUCUGAUUAGCUAGUUGGUGAGGUAACGGCCCACCAAGGCGACGAUCAGUAGCCGACCUGAGAGGGUGACCGGCCACAUUGGGACUGAGACACGGCCCAAACUCCUACGGGAGGCAGCAGUGGGGAAUAUUGCACAAUGGGCGAAAGCCUGAUGCAGCCGACGCCGCGUGAGCGAAGAAGUAUUUCGGUAUGUAAAGCUCUAUCAGCAGGGAAGAUAAUGACGGUACCUGACUAAGAAGCACCGGCUAAAUACGUGCCAGCAGCGGC